ACCAGUGUGACAUAAUGGUUUGAGUGUUGGACUACAACUCUGGAGACUCGGGUUUGAAUCCCUGCUCUGCCA